rnacentral:rRNA from 1 species
GUAGUCCACGCCCUAAACGAUGCGAACUGGAUGUUGGUCUCAACUCGGAGAUCAGUGUCGAAGCUAACGCGUUAAGUUCGCCGCCUGGGGAGUACGGUCGCAAGACUGAAACUCAAAGGAAUUGACGGGGGCCCGCACAAGCGGUGGAGUAUGUGGUUUAAUUCGAUGCAACGCGAAGAACCUUACCUGGCCUUGACAUGUCUGGAACCCCUGAGAGAUCGGGGGGUGCCUUCGGGAACCAGAACACAGGUGCUGCAUGGCUGUCGUCAGCUCGUGUCGUGAGAUGUUGGGUUAAGUCCCGCAACGAGCGCAACCCUUGUCCUUAGUUGCCAGCACGUAAUGGUGGGAACUCUAAGGAGACUGCCGGUGACAAACCGGA